GGUUACCUCUCACAGUGUGGUGCAGGUGAAUUCAUCCCACCUCCUGGUGAUCAGCAUGGCCUUGUACAGUGACUCAUCUUACGCAUACAACUACACUGGCCCUGUGGAGCUCCCUUCUGCAGAGCAGCUGUACAUCCAGGUGACCCUGCACUGUGAGAACAGCCUGGCCUACAACAUGAGCCUACAGCUGGAGUCCUGCUGGGCCACACAGACUGCAGACCCACAAGAGGAGAAGAAGGCUUUUUUCCUGAAAGGGGGGCUGCCCAAACGACAGAACCUUCCGCUGGUACCUCCAGAGCAGUUCCCCUCAAAGGAAGAGGUUCUCCGUUCAGAUGUUCACCAUGUCUGACCACUCCCACAUCUACCUUCACUGCCUGAGCAGAAUAUGCAGCCAAGAUGAGAACUGCACAACGGUCAGCCAGCAGCCUGGCCUGAGAGCUUCCUGCGUUCACUGCCAGGGAUGUGACAGGCCUCAUCUGAGCCCCAAUCUGUCAGGACACACCCCUUUACUAAAAUUUGGGUUUAGCUUACUGCUAUUGUGAGAAUUUACCAUGCAUGUGUUUACAUUUCAAAAGAAUAUGUCUUCGAUGUUAUCGCUACUUUGUCCAAUGACACGAUAUUAAUAAAACCUUGGGUUUGCA